UGGCGGACGGGUGAGUAACGCGUAAAGAACUUGCCCUUUAGACUGGGAUAACAGAGGGAAACUUCUGAUAAUACUGGAUAAGUUAGUAUAUCGCAUGAUAUGCAAAUGAAAGCUACGGCACUAAAGGAGAGCUUUGCGUCCUAUUAGCUAGUUGGUAAGGUAAGAGCUUACCAAGGCAAUGAUGGGUAGCCGGGUUGAGAGACCGACCGGCCAGAUUGGGACUGAGACACGGCCCAGACUCCUACGGGAGGCAGCAGUC
rnacentral:rRNA from 1 species